UGAGGCGUGAUGACGAGGCACUACGGUGCUGAAGCAACAAAUGCCCUGCUUCCAGGAAAAGCCUCUAAGCAUCAGGUAACAUCAAAUCGUACCCCAAACCGACACAGGUGGUCAGGUAGAGAAUACCAAGGCGCUUGAGAGAACUCGGGUGAAGGAACUAGGCAAAAUGGUGCCGUAACUUCGGGAGAAGGCACGCUGACACGUAGGUGAAGUGAUUUACUCAUGGAGCUGAAGUCAGUCGAAGAUACCAGCUGGCUGCAACUGUUUAUUAAAAACACAGCACUGUGCAAACACGAAAGUGGACGUAUACGGUGUGACGCCUGCCCGGUGCCGGAAGGUUAAUUGAUGGGGUCAGCGCAAGCGAAGCUCCUGAUCGAAGCCCCGGUAAACGGCGGCCGUAACUAUAACGGUCCUAAGGUAGCGAAAUUCCUUGUCGGGUAAGUUCCGACCUGCACGAAUGGCGUAAUGAUGGCCAGGCUGUCUCCACCCGAGACUCAGUGAAAUUGAACUCGCUGUGAAGAUGCAGUGUACCCGCGGCAAGACGGAAAGACCCCGUGAACCUUUACUAUAGCUUGACACUGAACAUUGAGCCUUGAUGUGUAGGAUAGGUGGGAGGCUUUGAAGUGUGGACGCCAGUCUGCAUGGAGCCGGCCUUGAAAUACCACCCUUUAAUGUUUGAUGUUCUAACGUGGACCCGUGAUCCGGGUUGCGGACAGUGUCUGGUGGGUAGUUUGACUGGGGCGGUCUCCUCCUAAAGAGUAACGGAGGAGCACGAAGGUUGGCUAAUCCUGGUCGGACAUCAGGAGGUUAGUGCAAUGGCAUAAGCCAGCUUGACUGCGAGCGUGACGGCGCGAGCAGGUGCGAAAGCAGGUCAUAGUGAUCCGGUGGUUCUGAAUGGAAGGGCCAUCGCUCAACGGAUAAAAGGUACUCCGGGGAUAACAGGCUGAUACCGCCCAAGAGUUCAUAUCGACGGCGGUGUUUGGCACCUCGAUGUCGGCUCAUCACAUCCUGGGGCUGAAGUAGGUCCCAAGGGUAUGGCUGUUCGCCAUUUAAAGUGGUACGCGAGCUGGGUUUAGAACGUCGUGAGACAGUUCGGUCCCUAUCUGCCGUGGGCGCUGGAGAACUGAGGGGGGCUGCUCCUAGUACGAGAGGACCGGAGUGGACGCAUCACUGGUGUUCGGGUUGUCAUGCCAAUGGCACUGCCCGGUAGCUAAAUGCGGAAGAGAUAAGUGCUGAAAGCAUCUAAGCACGAAACUUGCCCCGAGAUGAGUUCUCCCUGAGACUUUAGGUCUCCUGAAGGAACGUUGAAGACGACGACGUUGAUAGGCCGGGUGUGUAAGCGCAGCGAUGCGUUGAGCUAACCGGUACUAAUGAACCGUGAGGCUUAACCUUACAACGCCGAAG
rnacentral:rRNA from 1 species